rnacentral:sRNA from 1 species
UUAGGAUCUUGUCCAUGAAAGAGACAUCGGCUCAACAAAGUUAAACAGUUGUAUUGAGAUAGGGGAAAAGGUCUAUCCUAACACCCACCCUGAUGGUCGUGAGGUCAUCAGACAAGAACUUUGUAAGCUCAAGUUGGGCUAUGAGAAUCUGUUUGAUGAACUCUCAACUGUCCAGAGAAAACUGGAAGUAUCAUUAGUACAGUGGACCUCUUUUGAUGAAAGUAAUGGCCAGGUUGAACAGUGGCUAAGACAAAUGGAGUCCCAACUAGAAGGGCAGACUCCCUUGAAGGCAACACUGGAAGAGAAAAAGUCACAACUUCAUAACUACAGGGCUCUUCAGCAAGAUGUUCUGUCAUAUCAGAGAAUAAUUGAUAGUAUAUCUGAAAAAGCUUCAAGUCUCACACAGAACAGUGCUGACCGAGAAAUGGCCAGAUUUAUUUCUCAAACUGGAACCCGUUAUAAAAAAUUAAAUUCUGCAGCUAAGGUAAUGGUUUUAAUAAAAAUACGGUUAGGGUUAGGGUGAGU